AGAGUUUGAUCAUGGCUCAGAUUGAACGCUGGCGGAAUGCUUUACACAUGCAAGUCGAACGAUGAAGCCUAGCUUGCUAGGUGAAUUAGUGGCGGACGGGUGAGUAAUAUAUCGGAACGUGUCCAUUAAUGGGGGAUAACUAAUCGAAAGGUUAGCUAAUACCGCAUACGCCCUGAGGGGGAAAGCUGGGGAUCUUCGGACCUAGCGUUAAUGGAGCGGCCGAUACCUGAUUAGCUAGUUGGUGGGGUAAAAGCCUACCAAGGCAACGAUCAGUAGCUGGUCUGAGAGGACGACCAGCCACACUGGGACUGAGACACGGCCCAGACUCCUACGGGAGGCAGCAGUGGGGAAUUUUGGACAAUGGGGGCAACCCUGAUCCAGCCAUUCCGCGUGAGUGAAGAAGGCCUUCGGGUUGUAAAGCUCUUUCGCAAGGGAAGAAACGAUAUAGGUUAAUAGCUUAUGUUAAUGACGGUACCUUGACAAGAAGCACCGGCUAACUACGUGCCAGCAGCCGCGGUAAUACGUAGGGUGCAAGCGUUAAUCGGAAUUACUGGGCGUAAAGCGUGCGCAGGCUGUUUUGUA
rnacentral:rRNA from 1 species